AGGUCAUUUCAAAGAAGACUUGUGGGGAUGUGAAACCAGGAGCUAACACUAUGACCAAAGAUUAAAGUUCUCCGUAGGGUACCAGAGUCACUCAAUAGUGCUGUGUUUUUCUGAGGAGGUAUAAGA
ensembl:snoRNA